AUUGAACGCUGGCGGCAGGCCUAACACAUGCAAGUCGAACGAGUGGCGGACGGGUGUGUAAUGUCUGGAAAACUGCCUGAUGGAGGGGGAUAACUACUGGAAACGGUAGCUAAUACCGCAUACCAUCAGAUUUGCCCAGAUGGGAUUGGCUUUUUGGUGGGGUAACGGCGACCAAAGGCGACGAUCCCUAGCUGGUCUCAGAGGAUGACCGGCCACACUGGAACUGGGAAACGGUCCAGACUCCUACGGGAGGCAGCAGUGGGAAAUGUUGGACAAUGUGCGAAAGCCUGAUCCAGCCGUGCCGCGUGUGUGAAGAAGGUCUUGGGAUUGUAAAGCACUUUAAGUUGGGAGGCGUUACCAAAAGAAUAAGCACCGGCUAACUUCGUGCCAGCAGCCGCGGUAAUAC
rnacentral:rRNA from 1 species